GACGAACGCUGGCGGCGUGCCUAAUACAUGCAAGUAGGACGCACAGCCUAUACCGUAGCUUGCUACACCAUAGGCUGUGAGUUGCGAACGGGUGAGUAACGCGUAGGUAACCUGCCUAUUAGAGGGGGAUAACUAUUGGAAACGAUAGCUAAUACCGCAUAACAGUAUGUAACACAUGUUAGAUGCUUGAAAGAUGCAAUUGCAUCGCUAGUAGAUGGACCUGCGUUGUAUUAGCUAGUAGGUAGGGUAAUGGCCUACCUAGGCAACGAUACAUAGCCGACCUGAGAGGGUGAUCGGCCACACUGGGACUGAGACACGGCCCAGACUCCUACGGGAGGCAGCAGUAGGGAAUCUUCGGCAAUGGGGGGAACCCUGACCGAGCAACGCCGCGUGAGUGAAGAAGGUUUUCGGAUCGUAAAGCUCUGUUGUUAAGGAAGAACGAGUGCGAGAAUGGAAAGUUCAUACUGUGACGGUACUUAACCAGAAAGGGACGGCUAACUACGUGCCAGCAGCCGCGGUAAUACGUAGGUCCCGAGCGUUGUCCGGAUUUAUUGGGCGUAAAGCGAGCGCAGGCGGUUAGAAAAGUCUGAAGUGAAAGGCAGUGGCUCAACCAUUGUAGGCUUUGGAAACUGUUUAACUUGAGUGCAGAAGGGGAGAGUGGAAUUCCAUGUGUAGCGGUGAAAUGCGUAGAUAUAUGGAGGAACACCGGUGGCGAAAGCGGCUCUCUGGUCUGUCACUGACGCUGAGGCUCGAAAGCGUGGGGAGCGAACAGG
rnacentral:rRNA from 1 species